rnacentral:rRNA from 1 species
CUAGGCUUGACAUCCCUUUGCAAAGCCCUUAACCGGGCUCCUCUUGUUCGCAAGACAAAGGUGACAGGUGGUGCAUGGUUGUCGUCAGCUCGUGUCGUGAGAUGUUGGGUUAAGUCCCGCAACGAGCGCAACCCCUAUUUUUAGUUGCCAUCAGUUAGGCUGGGCACUCUAGAAAGACUGCCGAGGACAACUCGGAGGAAGGUGGGGAUGACGUCAAAUCAUCAUGCCCCUUAUGCUUAGGGCUACACACGUGCUACAAUGGCUGUUACAAAGGGCUGCGAGACCGCGAGGUGGAGCCAAUCCCAUAAAAACAGUCUAAGUUCGGAUUGUAGGCUGAAACU